rnacentral:sRNA from 1 species
UAAUAGCCCUGAUGGUAGUGGAAAUCCUUUUUUGGUGGCUUCGAGAGUACUUCGACAGGCUCAGCAUGACAUCUGAGCCACCAAAAAAGAUUGAAGCGGACAGCAGGAACAAGG